GGUGUUGGUGUUGUUGUUGUUGUUGUUGUUGUUUGGUGGUCGUAGACCCGAGGCAAUUCACAUCCUGACAUCCAAACCCCUGGCAAAUUUGGAUUUGUCUUUUUUGCAUGAAGGUUUUUUAUUUUCAAGACCAAAAACCUGCAGAUAAAUUUGUAAUCAUUUCUAUAUUCAUAAAUAUAGAUCGACAUUUUUUUUGAAAGAAAAAAAAUUUGAACUCUAUUACGCAAACUAUGCUGAUAAUGUUUCUAUCAGUAUUAAUAAAAAUAUUUUAAACAUG
rnacentral:lncRNA from 1 species